AGAGUUUGAUCCUGGCUCAGAUUGAACGCUGGCGGCAUGCCUUACACAUGCAAGUCGAACGGUAACAGGUUAAGCUGACGAGUGGCGAACGGGUGAGUAAUAUAUCGGAACGUGCCCAAUCGUGGGGGAUAACGCAGCGAAAGUUGUGCUAAUACCGCAUAAGAUCUACGGAUGAAAGCGGGGGAUCGCAAGACCUCGCGCGAGUGGAGCGGCCGAUAUCAGAUUAGCUAGUUGGUGGGGUAAAGGCCCACCAAGGCGACGAUCUGUAGCUGGCCUGAGAGGGCGACCGGCCACACUGGGACUGAGACACGGCCCAGACUCCUACGGGAGGCAGCAGUGGGGAAUAUUGCGCAAUGGGCGAAAGCCUGACGCAGCGACGCCGCGUGAGGGACGAAGGUCUUCGGAUUGUAAACCUCUUUCAGCAGGGAUGAAGCGAAAGUGACAGUACCUGCAGAAGAAGCACCGGCUAACUACGUG
rnacentral:rRNA from 1 species